rnacentral:snRNA from 10 species
AUACUUACCUGACGGUGAAGCAAACCUGGUCAACAUGGGGCUUCUUCCAGGGUGAGGCUUUUGCAUUGCACUUCGCCUGGGCUGACUCUGGGUUGACUGCGAUUACCGCUAACGUCGGUAACUCGACCGUACACUUUCUGGCUGUGGGGGCCUGCGUUGGCGCUCGCCCCUU